rnacentral:rRNA from 1 species
UACGUAGGGGGCAAGCGUUGUCCGGAAUCAUUGGGCGUAAAGAGCGCGCAGGCGGUCGUGCAAGUCGCGUGUGAAAGCCCCCGGCUCAACUGGGGAGGGUCACGCGAUACUGCUCGACUUGAAGGCAGGAGAGGGAAGUGGAAUUCCCGGUGUAGUGGUGAAAUGCGUAGAUAUCGGGAGGAACACCAGUGGCGAAGGCGGUUCUCUGGGACGGUACUGACGCUGAGACGCGAAAGCGUGGGGAGCGAACAGG